rnacentral:lncRNA from 1 species
CAUUGGAUCGAUAUUUUGAUGAUUUUUUAUUGAACUAAACUACUAGUGGCUUUUUUUGAACUGUUCUUUGGCCAUGAGUUAGGAUAAAAAAUUACAAAUGAAGAAUAGCGAGGCAUUUAAAUGUUGAUUGUGGAUUUUAGAGUUAUUAGGAUUUUAAUAGUAUUAAGUUUCCAUGUAUAAGUGAAUAAAUAUAUUUAAAAAUAUUAUUUGUAAU